GAAUUCGCCCUUAGAGUUUGAUCCUGGCUCAGGACGAACGCUGGCGGCGCGCCUAACACAUGCAAGUCGAACGAGCGAGAGAGAGCUUGCUUUCUCGAGCGAGUGGCGAACGGGUGAGUAACGCGUGAGGAACCUGCCUCAAAGAGGGGGACAACAGUUGGAAACGACUGCUAAUACCGCAUAAGCCCACGGGUCGGCAUCGACCAGAGGGAAAAGGAGCAAUCCGCUUUGAGAUGGCCUCGCGUCCGAUUAGCUAGUUGGUGAGGUAACGGCCCACCAAGGCGACGAUCGGUAGCCGGACUGAGAGGUUGAACGGCCACAUUGGGACUGAGACACGGCCCAGACUCCUACGGGAGGCAGCAGUGGGGAAUAUUGCACAAUGGGGGAAACCCUGAUGCAGCGACGCCGCGUGGAGGAAGAAGGUCUUCGGAUUGUAAACUCCUGUUGUUGGGGAAGAUAAUGACGGUACCCAACAAGGAAGUGACGGCUAACUACGUGCCAGCAGCCGCGGUAAAACGUAGGUCACAAGCGUUGUCCGGAAUUACUGGGUGUAAAGGGAGCGCAGGCGGGAAGACAAGUUGGAAGUGAAAUCUAUGGGCUCAACCCAUAAACUGCUUUCAAAACUGUUUUUCUUGAGUAGUGCAGAGGUAGGCGGAAUUCCCGGUGUAGCGGUGGAAUGCGUAGAUAUCGGGGGGAACACCAGUGGCGAAGGCGGCCUACUGGGCACCAACUGACGCUGAGGCUCGAAAGUGUGGGUAGCAAACAGGAUUAGAUACCCUGGUAGUCCACACCGUAAACGAUGAUUACUAGGUGUUGGAGGAUUGACCCCUUCAGUGCCGCAGUUAACACAAUAAGUAAUCCACCUGGGGAGUACGACCGCAAGGUUGAAACUCAAAGGAAUUGACGGGGGCCCGCACAAGCAGUGGAGUAUGUGGUUUAAUUCGACGCAACGCGAAGAACCUUACCAAGUCUUGACAUCCGCCUGACCGAUCCUUAACCGGAUCUUUCCUUCGGGACAGGCGAGACAGGUGGUGCAUGGUUGUCGUCAGCUCGUGUCGUGAGAUGUUGGGUUAAGUCCCGCAACGAGCGCAACCCCUAUCCUCAGUAGCCAGCAUUUAAGGUGGGCACUCUGGGGAGACUGCCAGGGAUAACCUGGAGGAAGGCGGGGAUGACGUCAAAUCAUCAUGCCCCUUAUGAUUUGGGCUACACACGUGCUACAAUGGCGUAAACAAAGGGAAGCGAGAUCGUGAGAUGGAGCAAAUCCCAAAAAUAACGUCCCAGUUCGGACUGUAGUCUGCAACCCGACUACACGAAGCUGGAAUCGCUAGUAAUCGCGGAUCAGAAUGCCGCGGUGAAUACGCUCCCGGGUCUUGCACACACCGCCCGUCA
rnacentral:rRNA from 1 species